rnacentral:rRNA from 1 species
GACGAACGCUGGCGGCGUGCUUAACACAUGCAAGUCGAACGGAGUGGCGUACGGGUGAGUAUCACGUGAGUAACCUGCCCUCAACUCUGGGUUAAGCCUGGGAAACUGGGUCUAAUCCUGCAUAGGGGGGGAUGCGCUCGCGGCCUAUCUGCUUGUUGGUGGGGUGAGGGCCUACCAAGGCGGUGAAGGGUAGCCGGUCCUAGAGGGUGGUAGGGAGCGUUGGGUCUGAGAUACGGCCCGGACGCCUACGGGAGGCAGCUGUGGCGGAUAGUGCAAAAUGGGCGCAAGCCUGGUGCGGCGACGGCGCGUGGGGGAUGAAGGCGUUCGGGUUGUAAACCUCUUUCGGUACAGAACGGGUAUGUGCAGAAGAAGCGCCGGCUAACUACGUGCCAGCAGCCGCGGUAAUAC